UACGUAGGGUGCGAGCGUUGUCCGGAAUUACUGGGCGUAAAGAGCUCGUAGGUGGUUUGUCGCGUUGUUCGUGAAAACCUGAGGCUUAACCUUGGGCGUGCGGGCGAUACGGGCAGACUGGAGUGCUGCAGGGGAGACUGGAAUUCCUGGUGUAGCGGUGGAAUGCGCAGAUAUCAGGAAGAACACCAAUGGCGAAGGCAGCUCUCUGGGACGGUACUGACGCUGAGACGCGAAAGCGUGGGGAGCGAACAGG
rnacentral:rRNA from 1 species